GGCGCCAGGCGCUCCGGCCGCAAGGGAGCAGGGAGCCCUGCCAGCUGGGCCACCCGAGGGGCGUUGCGGGGCUCCGGGCGGGGUCGACCCGGGGGGCUCCGUCGGGCCCCACCAGCCUUGCGCCUUUUUCGCUCGGUCUCCUUGGCCUCCCGCUCCUGCGACGCCGCUUUCCUUUUCUCUUGCUCCCGAGCUCGGACCUCGGCCAGGGGCCCCGCCCGCCAGUUGGUCGCCUCCUGCAGCACCCUGGAGGCCCAGGGCCGGCGGGGCGGCGGCUGUGGGGAUCCCGGGCGCGGCCCACACCUGGGACAAUGAGCAGGAACCCAGAGACAGGGUCUUGCUGUGUUGCUGAGCUGGUCUUGAACUCCUGGCCUCCCGCCUCAGUCUCCCAAAGUGCUGGGAUUACAGGGAAUGUGACUUCACUGGACGCAGUAUAAAGAUCUUCAGAUGUCCUCCUGCCGGGGAUUGCAGGGAUCACAGAAAGACCAUCGAGGUCCAGGAGCUACCUGCAAGCGGAGAUCCCUCUGGACGCCCCGUGCCUCACCCAGCAAAGCCGGCUCACAACCCUGCGCUCUCAAACCUCUAAAAGGGCUUGAGGUGCCAAUAGGAAAGGAGGCCCGAGAUUGCCACGGCAUACGUGGGCCCCAAGGAGGGAGCCAGGAGUCACUGCCUGCUUGGGCUAAGGGUACCGCGUACGGAAAGGCGGCGGGGACGCGGCCCAGUUCCAGGAGAUGCGCCCAACGAAGAAGCGGAGGAACAGGGUCACGGGAUAGGGCAGACACCCGGCUGCUUUUUGUUUGCUAGACACCAGCGCCAGCCCCUGCCCGGCCCUCCCGGUCUCCUAAGGGUUGGGGGGGUGUCUUAGGCUCCACAGCGCCCCCGACCGCCCUCCUGCACUCCUCACCGUCUCCAUUGCAAGAGGCGCCCGGCUUGGUUUCCUCGCUUUAGGAAACUCUCUUGGGGCAGGCCCCGCCCCACAUCCGGUGCGGCGACGCCACUUCCGCCCACGUCAUGGCAGUCGCCAGACUGGGGCGGAAGGCAAGGAACCCACCCUUCCGGCGGUGGCGGGCCUCGGUAACCGCCCUCCCCCGGGUCCUCGCGGACCGCACGGAUCCGGCUGACGGCGAGGGUCAUGGGACGGAGCCGCUUGUAUUUAAAAUGUUCUUUUUUUAUUUGUCGUUUAAAAACAAACUUGGAAGAAGCAAAAUCCAAAACUUGCCCUUUGCCUCUCGCAACAUAAAUAUGUACAGUUCAGAAUGAUCGCUGAUACAAAACAUGCCAAGGACAGGGGCGCUGAGGGUGGAGGGAGAGAGGGCGCUUUAAAAAAGGGAACCAUUUCAUCCGUUGUUACGAAGGACCAACCUUGCUGUACAGGAUACACACAACACAAAAUAAAGUCUUCACGGGAUUCACACUUGUCAGCGAUUUAUUUUUUAAAAAGGGGGAGGGUCCUGGAGGUGAGGGGAGAAGACUGUAAAGGGGAAAACUGAAAACUGAGUAUGUGCGAGUGUAAACCAACCCAAAAUACAAACACGGGGGCGGGGGGUGGGGUGGGGGAUUCUGAUGCAAUUAUACAGGCAGGGUACUUAAAAAAAAAACCAACCAAAAUUCCAACCUUGUAGCUUGGGUCUGAGUUAUAGUUUAUAUAAAAAUUAAAAACUGUAUAAGGUUUCUUCACUAAAUUCUACAGGACUAUCGGAUACCUAGCAUAUGCUUACAAAGUCUGCCCCAUCCCCUUUUCCCAAUCCCAGGGCCCAAGCCCCAAACACAGCCUGACUCACGGGAGCCAAUCUCCCCCUCCCUGUAGCCUAGACCUUCUGCUCUCGGAAAAGGAACAUCCAAGGGCUGUGGCUUUGAGGGCAGCAGCCCAGUCUUCCUACUGUCUGAUUUAAUUACAGCGGUUCCUGUGGGAGUGGGGGCUGUUAUUCUCUUAAACAUUUGCAGCUUGAAACAGUUGAGGAAGCAGCUUUAAAAAAAAAAAAUCUCCCUACCCCCAACAAUCCACAACCCCCCAAAUUCAAAACAAAACAAAAACAAACCUAAAAUCACAACAGCGACCAAGCUCCCCCUCCAGCAGGCCCGCCCGUCCACCACCACCAAGCCCACCCCUACACUCCAGACAUCUGAUUCUUGAAAAUAUUAAUUACAAAAUGCCCUUUGCCCACAGCCCCUAGAAGAGAACUGCAUAUAAGCUUCAUCUUCAUCCCCACGGUUCCCUACCAGAGAGGGGUUUGGGGCCUCACCCACCCCUUACCUACUCCCACCCCCAGGAAGAGGUUCAACUGCAGCACAAGCUUGGGCAGAAAGGGGAAGGAAAGGGAGGCAAGGAACCCAUCACCCUCUGGCUCCCCCUGGGGUCAGCUCUCUUUUGUGCGUUAUAACAUAGUCCAACUAUACAACAGGGGGUGGGAAUUGCCCAGCCUCUAUACCCCCAUCUUACAGCAGUCACAGCCAGGGGGUGGGGAGUGGGGUGGGGGGUGAGGAAAAGGGCGGUAGGUCGGGUAAUGGAGGGGGCCCCCCCACAAGGGGAGCUCCAUGUGUCCGCCCCACACCCCCCUACCAUUUAUAAACUGGUUUUGUAAAAAGAAAAUAGAUAUAUUUAUAUAGAAUAUAUAAAGCACAAAAAUUAGUAGUUUUACAUUUGCUCUCCCCGGGGGGUGGGGGGAGAGGGGAG
rnacentral:lncRNA from 1 species